GGAGACGUGCCAGAGCAGUCCAAUGGAACGGUUUGCAAAACCGUAAAGCCGGCGGUGCGAAUCCGCCCGUCUCCUCCA
rnacentral:tRNA from 1 species